GACGAACGCUGGCGGCGUGCUUAACACAUGCAAGUCGAACGGAAAGGCCCUGCUUUUGUGGGGUGCUCGAGUGGCGAACGGGUGAGUAACACGUGAGUAACCUGCCCUUGACUUUGGGAUAACUUCAGGAAACUGGGGCUAAUACCGGAUAGGAGCUCCUGCUGCAUGGUUGGGGUUGGAAAGUUUCGGCGGUUGGGGAUGGACUCGCGGCUUAUCAGCUUGUUGGUGGGGUAGUGGAUUACCAAGGCUUUGACGGGUAGCCGGCCUGAGAGGGUGACCGGCCACAUUGGGACUGAGAUACGGCCCAGACUCCUACGGGAGGCAGCAGUGGGGAAUAUGGCACAAUGGGCGGAAGCCUGAUGCAGCAACGCCGCGUGCGGGAUGACGGCCUUCGAGUUGUAAACCGCUUUCGCCUGUGACGAAGCGUGAGUGACGGUAAUGGGUAAAGAAGCACCGGCUAACUACGUG
rnacentral:rRNA from 1 species